rnacentral:rRNA from 1 species
AUGCAACCUACCUUGAACAGGGGGAGUAGCCCGAAGAAAUUCGGAUUAAUACCGCAUAAGAUAACGGGGUGGAGCAUUCACUUGUUAUUAAAGAUUUAUUGGUUCAAGAUGGGCAUGCGUGCCAUUAGCUUGUUGGUGAGGUAACGGCUCACCAAGGCAACGAUGGCUAGGGGAUCUGAGAGGAUGACCCCCCACACUGGUACUGAGACACGGACCAG